CCUANGGGAGGCUGCAGUCGAGAAUAUUUAGCAAUGGGCGCAAGCCUGAUCCAGCCAUGCCGCGUGGGUGAUGAAGGCCCUAGGGUUGUAAACUUCUUUUAUCUGGGACGAAAAAAGCUCAUUCUUGAGCACUUGACGGUACCAGAGGAAUAAGCACCGGCUAACUCCGUGCCAGCAGCCGCGGUAAUACGGAGGGUGCAAGCGUUAUCCGGAUUUACUGGGUUUAAAGGGUGCGUAGGUGGGUCUGUAAGUCAGUGGUGAAAUCUCCGAGCUUAACUCGGAAACUGCCAUUGAUACUAUAGGUCUUGAAUUAUCUGGAGGUAAGCGGAAUAUGUCAUGUAGCGGUGAAAUGCUUAGAUAUGACAUAGAACACCAAUUGCGAAGGCAGCUUACUACGGAUAUAUUGACACUGAGGCACGAAAGCGUGGGGAUCAAACAGGAUUAGAUACCCAGNUANUC
rnacentral:rRNA from 1 species